UCCGGUUUGGCACCGGCAGUCUCCCUAGAGUGCCCGGCAUCACCCGCUGGUAACUAGGGACGAGGGUUGCGCUCGUUGCGGGACUUAACCCAACAUCUCACGACACGAGCUGACGACAGCCAUGCAGCACCUGUGCACGCGUCCCGAAGGAGGCCCCCCGUUUCCGAAGGGUUUCGCGUGCAUGUCAAGCCUAGGUAAGGUUCUUCGCGUUGCGUCGAAUUAAACCACAUGCUCCACCGCUUGUGCGGGCCCCCGUCAAUUCCUUUGAGUUUCAGCCUUGCGGCCGUACUCCCCAGGCGGGGCACUUAAUGCGUUAGCGCCGGCACUCCGAGGGUCGCUCCCCGAAGCACCUAGUGCCCAUCGUUUACGGCGUGGACUAC
rnacentral:misc_RNA from 1 species